GUCUAUGGCCGUACCACCCUGAACAUGACUGAUCUCAUCUGACCUCAGAAGCUAAGCAGAGUCAGGCCUGAUUAGUACUUGGAUGGGAGGACAUUGAGUUGAAAUGUGACAAUAUAGGCACCUAAGGAGCCUUGGGAA
ensembl:rRNA 5S_rRNA 5S ribosomal RNA